rnacentral:rRNA from 1 species
GAACGUGGGCAGACCGGGGUUAAUUUUAAGCCUCUUCCCUUCGGUCUCUCUUCGUUCUUUGCGUCGCCGCCGCCGCCGCCGCGUUCCUCGCGCUCGAGCUGCCGCGCUCCUCGAGGUUGAUCCGCCGCGCUCUCGGGGAUCGAGCUGGCAGCGGGUGACGGCAGGGGUGGAGAGGGAAGCGAGGAAGAGUCGUGCCCGUUUUACCGCCUGUCUCUGCCCCUAAUCCCAAAAUACGGCGGUGGUGGAGGUGGAGGCGGGUCGGGACGAGGCUGCGGACGGAGGAGGCGGCCCGGACGUGCGUAAGAGGGACCUGCCCGAGUUCAGACAGUGCUAUUGGAGAGGUAGAGGUAGAGCGGGGCUGCGAGGAGACGAAGGUCAGCGACGGCCGGGACAGGGUAGCGAUGUAACGACUAUGAACGUAACUGGCAAACCUCGACGAUCGAACAAACUUCCGAAGAAGGAGUUCUUCUCAAUGACAUGAACCUCAAACACGUGGACCAUGACUGAGAAUAGAUGCAAAGAAACCUGGACUGUGUGGUCUGCUAGAACAAGCAUAGACUGUCGACCAGGGUUUAAACUCUAACAAACUCGUCCCUCUGAGUUUAGUUUAAACCCAGAAUGUAUCGGAAGAAGUCGAGUAUCGUAAAAUACACUUCCGCACACCAACCAAAAGUCUUGGUUAUAGUCCUCGUCAUAAUACCUUAGGUUGUCUCUUCUCCGGCAGUUCCGAUCCCUUUAACGAAAUUUUUUCAAUCUUUCGUUUCUGAAACAACCACGAUUUUCCUAACGUGACUUUCGUGUUUCCUAAAAAGGUCUUGAACUUUUGAAUAGAGUCGACAACUGACAGACGCUUCACGUAACACGUCGUCUCCGUUUCUAGUUACUCAACAACCUGAAGAUGCCCUAAGAGGUUCACCUACAUUGCCGACUACUCCGUUGGUAUUUCUUCGUCAUGGCCUUCGAACGGAAAAGUGAGGUGGGACUAUUUUUAUCAAUGGGACCACGUCUUCGACGAAAAUUUAACCAUCGUCUUCGAGUGAGUUGUAACAGACUAGCUUGUUUUUUUGGACGUAUACUGUAGUUCACCUCCCAACGAAGAUCUUAACGUGGUUUCGUCCCAAGUCUUGAUUUCGUCCGGUGUCCUGGUUUCGUUCCACGGGUUGGUUUCGUCCGAUGGGUUAGUUUCUUCCGUCGUUAUGGGUUCGUCCGUUGUCAUGGCUUCGUCCGCCGUCAUGGUUUCGUCCGUGGGUAUGGUUUCGUCCGCUGUCAUGGUUUCGUCCGUGGGUAUGGUUUCGUCCGCCGUCAUGGUUUCGUCUGUCGAUGUCUUGUCUACUUCUUUGGACCACGUUUAUCUUCAUCACAUCGUCCUCCACUUGGUGGUCAAGGUAGUUGGUGACAACCUGUCCGUUAUACCUGGUAUACGUAAGUGACAUCUUGUUCUAUAGUCAUGAUGUCACCGCAUGAUUUAGUAGCGUAGGCGACAGUCUUGACGUCAUUUAUAAAACAACGAAGAUUCGACUUACGUGUACUACACGGAAGACAUAAGUGUAGUUUAAGGUAGUUUCCACAACCUGUUGUCUCACCAAAAGGGUCAGUUGGUCUGACAAGAUGUUUCAAGAGAGGAUCCAACUUACCACUACGAUUCGGGAACUUACCUCGUGUUUGACGACUUGUAUACUUCUCACGGUCUCGCCCACCACUCCUCUUCAAAUUGGUACGUCCCCGUCCACCCUUUUCGCCCCAACUUAAAAGUUGUCCCUUAUACAGAUUUAGAAGACGUGGUUCACGUUCACUGUUCCGUCCACCUUCUUACCGUAGACUGGGACGACCAGGUCUACAACGAAUAUCAUUUUUGGGUACGUCAUCCCAUCAUCUAUGUGGUCGUCUCGGUCCACGAUGACCGUCGGGAUCAGGGGCCUCUAGGCGAUCCUCUUUCCGUUUGGUACUACGGUCAUGGGGCCAAGGGGGAUCGUUUUUCUCCGCUUGUGAUUUUCUGACCAAAAGUUUACGACUGUGAUCAACAUUCUUUUACAAACUACUGUUACAACGAGCACGACUACCUUUUUGACCACUUCGAGUACAGGGAUCGUUUCGUGUGUUACUUCUCUCUCCUUCGUGACGGUUUCUUCCCUUGGUCCUUUCACAAUUCUUUCUUAAAUGUACACUACGUAGACGACGCUUCCUAGGAACGCUAAGACGUGUUAAUUGGAUGGGACUGGGUCUUAAAAAACUGAAACUAUUUCCGUCCCUACACUUAAACAAACGUCAACUAGUCUAAACCCGUCAAAUACUACUGGCGCUACCGUACGGUGCUAUAAUACGAGCUUAUUUCGUACAUCUACGAUGGUUUAGGUGAUAAGCCAUGUGAACCGACCUCGUAUUCCGUCAAUUACUACUUCUUCUGUCUACCUGCCUAUUUCUUGACGGACAACGAACACCCUUCAAAUUAAAUCCUUUUUGCCUCCAUAGUGUUCCACGGGAGUACAAAAGAGUAUGACAACAAGGUACCCACUACCCGUUUUCUCCCACACGGAUGCUUUAUAUAGGGUCCUUCCCACUCCAUACCCGAGAAAUAUUCCCAACCUCAUACGUCACCACAAGUCUACGUCUAUUGGUAUUUUGUAUGCUCAUGCUGCAACACCUCCAAGACAGUCUGAAGUGUUACCUUCCACCUCGACGACAAAAAGGGAACCAGUUCUAAUUCCCCAAACAGUCAGAUAAACCUUUUCGUUAACUGUCUAGUAGAAAACAAUAUGGUAGAUCACUUGACGAAGCUAAAAGCGUGUUAUAGGGUAAAAUAUCCUGUUUUCCUUUACUUUUCCGACCACACCGUCCACCCAAAGAACUUGAUCUAUGGCAUAGUGAAGGAUCAUUGGACCUGCGUAGCAAAGGUAGUCAAUGAUAGCUGUUCUGUUAAUCGUCACCAAAGUAACUACGGUCACUAUAAUCAUGUGGUCCAGGACCUUUACUUGGUUCACGAGUUUUCCUUUUAGUCGUUUCACCUCCUUUUGCCUAUCUACUAAGGGAACUUGUUUGGGGUUCUGUCUUUGUCUUUCCGCCGUGACGCUCACACGGACCAAGAAGAAGAGUCGAUAAGGCGAGGAGAGGUUCAUGAUAACGUUGUAUAGGUCUAAGUCUCAAAAUAUUGAAACUUCUUCCCGCUAGUAUAUUGUUCAAACUUGCACCGGUCUAUACCCGAGAAAUGUCGCUAGAACUGUUUAAAGGGUUCAUAAUGCCGACCCACUGGUUUCAACUAUACCUUGGCAAGUCUAACGUAAAUUGAACCGAGCUUCGCACAGGAGUUGACCUCGUUCUCUUCUACACCAACUUCGCACUAUAUGGACACUCGACACCCUGUAAAUUCGAGGCGUUGACCUCCUAGUUCAUACUAAGUUUACUGCGUAAGAGAGUAAAUCAUCUUUGAUCGGUUCAAUUACCCGUUGCAAAACUUUAAGUGGGCGCUCAUCCACUUUAAACCCGGUAAAUGUUGUUGCUGACCCGUGGACUGACCCAAGGAAGGUCACUACUACGCACACUUAUACGGCAGCCACUCUAAUGACUCGCGUGACUUCGAUCGUGCUUCAAGAGCAAAGACUGAGGUCAUCUGCCAAUGUGUCGACACAAGUCCAAACUGUUACUUUCCCCAUAAGACCUCUAAGGACGUUUACUCUUGAACUCCAAAAGAGUGGUAUAUGGAAGAAUGGCAGACUGCCUUCUUUUUUCACCGUGCGAGGCACCGAAGAUACUCGAUCUAGGUCGAAGACAAGGACUACGAAAGGACCAGGCUCCCCCGUGGACGACUGGCUGACUGAACCUUCGAUUGUAAUUUAAUGAAGGUUAGUUCAGUUCAUCAGUAGACCAACGAUGACACUAGACCAAUACUUAGAGUGAAACUUUCACAAUAGACGUCCCCUCUCGUUUGCUAGUCAAUCCGAGAGACAUAAAGAUCUACAAAAUGGCAUGAAGAUCACGAACCCGCAUAAAACCGGUAAAGACAACACCUGGAAUACAUUCGAUCCACACCUGGAAGACUUUCGAUCCACACCUGGAAUACUUUCUGACCCUUUUUUCCCUUGAACUACCAACAAUCAAACCUAGUCCUAAGACGAAUGGCAACACAACACACGAUAGACGCGCGUACGUAAUAAGACCAAACACAAGUCCAAAAGCC